rnacentral:rRNA from 1 species
GAUAAACGCUGGCGGCGUGCCUAAUACAUGCAAGUCGAGCGAACAGAUGAGGAGCUUGCUCCUCUGACGUUAGCGGCGGACGGGUGAGUAACACGUGGAUAACCUACCUAUAAGACUGGGAUAACUUCGGGAAACCGGAGCUAAUACCGGAUAACAUAUUGAACCGCAUGGUUCAAUAGUGAAAGACGGUUUUGCUGUCACUUAUAGAUGGAUCCGCGCCGCAUUAGCUAGUUGGUAAGGUAACGGCUUACCAAGGCAACGAUGCGUAGCCGACCUGAGAGGGUGAUCGGCCACACUGGAACUGAGACACGGUCCAGACUCCUACGGGAGGCAGCAGUAGGGAAUCUUCCGCAAUGGGCGAAAGCCUGACGGAGCAACGCCGCGUGAGUGAUGAAGGUCUUCGGAUCGUAAAACUCUGUUAUUAGGGAAGAACAAAUGUGUAAGUAACUAUGCACGUCUUGACGGUACCUAAUCAGAAAGCCACGGCUAACUACGUG